UCAGGUGACUAUUGCACGAAGGUUCCACCUCUUCCCAUUCCGAACAGAGAAGUUAAGCUUCGUCACGCCGAUGG
rnacentral:rRNA from 1 species